rnacentral:lncRNA from 1 species
CCCGAACCCAUGUGACCACCCAGAGACAUGGGUCAUGGGCCACAGGACAUAAGAUAUGAAAUAAUACUGCGAGAGAAACACAUUUUUAAUUCAGCCUGUCUGUGGAGAUGGAACCCACGAGGCUCUCAGCCACCCCAUGUUCACUCAGAGGGGUGUAAACUAGCACACCUUACAGAAGCAAAAAGGACAGCGCCCAGAAGUCCAGAACACCUUAAUAAGUGUGUAAUGAACUGCGUUUGACUAAAACUGGAGAUAUGCAGCUGUUAACUAAUGGCCGUGAAGAUACAUGAAGCCUCUAUUAAAUGCCAGAUGUCUCCUCUGAUCUGCAUGGUGUUCUGAGACGGCUAUUAUGUCAUGUGGUGAGAACUGUGUACGGUGAUUUUACAGUGAGGAAACAAACAUAUGAUUUGAUGAAAGGAUAACCAUUUUAAAUUAUAGUUAUUAAAAUUCUAUAAAUCCGAAAAAAAAAAAAAAA